rnacentral:rRNA from 1 species
GGCGAACGUUAGCGGCGCGCUUAACACAUGCAAGUCGCACGAGAAGGGAGCAAUCCCCGGUAAAGUGGCGCACGGGUGAGUAACACGUGAAUUACCUUCCCCAGGAGUGGUGGAUAACCUGCCGAAAGGCGGGCUAAUACAGCAUAGGACCACGUGGUUUCGACCAUGGGGUGAAAGCAGCCUCUGUUCACAAGCUUGCGUUUCUGGAUGGGUUCGCGGUCCAUCAGCUAGUUGGGAGGUAACGGCUCACCAAGGCUACGACGGAUAGCUGGUCUGAGGAGGAUGAUC